CCUACGGGCGGCAGCAGUGGGGAAUAUUGGGCAAUGGAGGAAACCCUGACCCAGCAACGCCGCGUGAGGGAUGAAGGCUUUCGGGUUGUAAACUUCUUUAAGCGGGGACGAAGAAAGUGAGUGUCCUCACGAAUAAACCCCGGGUUAACUACGUGCCAGCAGCCGCGGAAAUACGUAGGGGGCAAGCGUUUUCCGGAAUGACGGGGGGUAAGGGGGGCGUAGGCGGGUUGGCAAGCUAGUAGCGAAAUCCCGGGGCUCAACUCCGGAACUACAUUUGAAACUGCUGGGCUUGAGUUCCGGAGGGGCAGAUGGAAUUCCUAGUGUAGCGGUGAAAUGCGUAGAUAUUAGGAGGAACACCAGUGGCGAAGGCGAUAUGCUGGACGGUAACUGACGCUGAGGCACGAAAGCGUGGGGAGCAAACAGGAUUAGAUACCCUUGUAGUC
rnacentral:rRNA from 1 species